GACAGAGGGUGCAAACGUUGUUCGGAAUUACUGGGCGUAAAGCGCGUGUAGGCCGUCGUGCAAGUCGGGUGUGAAAGCCCGGGGCUCAACCCCGGAAGUGCACUCGAAACUGCACGACUGGAGUCCCGGAGAGGGAGGCGGAAUUCUGGGUGUAGAGGUGAAAUUCGUAGAUAUCCAGAGGAACACCAGUGGCGAAGGCGGCCUCCUGGACGGUGACUGACGCUGAGACGCGAAAGCGUGGGGAGCAAACAGG
rnacentral:rRNA from 1 species